CUCAUUUUUCAGUCCGCACAUCUCAGCUUAUCCCUUCAAACCCUCAGACAAUGGAAAUCGCGGAUUCUUCUACGGUCUUGCUAUAAUGCUCGUGCCAUAGCCAUAAUCUCCUCAAUUACCUUGAAGUAUUUUUCUCAUUAUUUGUGGUGCUCAAGAAGAUGGAUAUUCGGCCAAGUCGUGGUUGGAUGUAUGAUAGACUAAAUUCAGAUCGAAGGGGAUAUACUGACGCAUUUUCACAGGUGUUUUUUUUUUCUUGAGGUAGUUUUAUGAACUUCAUGCACUUGGUUGUUGAAAGUGUUCUAAAUGACAUAGAGUCAUUGAAAUAGAUCAUUAUUUUGGGUCUCGUAGACACCAAACAUUAGUAUGUUUAUGUGUUUGGCCUGGUUCAUUUAAGUUUCUUUUCAGUGUUUGUCAUAUAGGAAGCAUGAACUGUUGUUUUCACUUGCUAUUAUUUGUUCAUUAUUUCCUGCAGGAUCAGGGUAAUGACACAAAUGAAGUGAACUAUUAUUUGCUCAUUAUUGCCGCCAUUUCUGGUUACAGAUUUGUUGAAGUUGAACUUCUUUUUGUAAAUUUACAUAACUAGAAAAUUUCUAAUAUGCAAAUUAAACAUGAAAUGUAUUAAGUUGGGGUAUACAAUUUGCUCAUCAUUCAUUUGAAUGCAAGCAAUUAAGAAGGUAGUUUUUAGGAGGACUAGUACAAAUCCAUUAUUAGUCUGUGA